rnacentral:rRNA from 1 species
CAGCAGUAAGGAAUAUUGGUCAAUGGACGCAAGUCUGAACCAGCCAUGCCGCGUGAAGGAUGAAGGUCCUCCGGAUUGUAAACUUCUUUUAUCUGGGGCGAAACACACCCUUUCCAGGGUGCUUGACGGUACCAGAUGAAUAAGCACCGGCUAACUCCGUGCCAGCAGCCGCGGUAAUACGGAGGGUGCAAGCGUUAUCCGGAUUUACUGGGUUUAAAGGGUGCGUAGGCGGAUUUGUAAGUCAGAGGUGAAAUCUCCGAGCUUAACUCGGAAACUGCCUUUGAUACUACAGGUCUUGAAUAUCGUUGAGGUUUGCGGAAUAUGUCAUGUAGCGGUGAAAUGCUUAGAUAUGACAUAGAACACCAAUUGCGAAGGCAGCUGGCUACACGAAUAUUGACACUGAGGCACGAAAGCGUGGGGAUCAAACAGGAUUAGA